rnacentral:lncRNA from 1 species
AUUAUGUCGCCACCUGUCAUCUUCUUUACCCAACCAAACAACUGCCUCUCUCUCUUCGCUUCUCUCAUCUCUAUCACCAUAUCCAAUCACCUCUCUCUCUAUCUUUUUCUCUCUCAUCUCUAUCGUCAGAUCCAGAUCUGAAAAUUACGAAGUCGUGAUGGUCUAUUACCGGCGGCGAAACAAUAGAGGAGGAAGAUUGGAGGCAUCACUAAAUCUGAA